GUCUGUGUUUGUGUCCGAGGUCGGUGUGACUGGACACCGGUGAUGAUGGCGGCCCGUGUGGGGCCAUGACGAUAAGUGUUGAUAAAAUAACGGAACUAGAACCUGAUUUUCAUUUUUUUAUAUUGGGAUGCAUACCAAUAUGGAUUGUGCACGGGUUCCGGUGUGAGAAGCAUUACAUAUGUUUAAUAUGUUUGAAACAAAACAUGCGAAUAUACUUCCCGUGUGACUUGUCAUAAGGGCUGGACACCAGCGAUGAAUGCAGCAGUGAUAAGGCUGUAUUUUUGUAAAUGAGCAGUUAUGUAAAAACGAUAGUCUAUGAUUAGUUACGUAUAUAGCCAUUAUAUGUAUGCAACACCGGAAAAAAAUGUUAAACGUUGUAUUGUUUGUUGUGCUGUAAAAAAUAAUGUAUAAGUCUAAAUAUUGUAUAUACUUUGAAGCUUAAUCUGAAUUGCAAUGACACAUAAUAUAACAAAAGCAUUACACUGACAAAUGUAUAACAGAAGCAGCUGUAUCACAAUGUGUGAAAUACAGCUUCCGUGGAAGAAUCCAUGUUCAAGGUACCAGGGCCACCACCAGACAGUUUACUCCUUCUUGAUGGUGAAUACCCAGCAUUGUGUACACCCACGAAACAAACAGUAGUACCUGAUACAUUAUAGGGGCUUCCUAACAUAAUAUAUACUAUACUUCAUAUUUACUUUAGAUGAUUUUGUCAUAUGCUGUAUACACAAUGUUACUGAAUUGUUGCCACUGGACAAUUGUAUUUAUCCUUUCACUCUAUGUUCUACCCAUGCUUCCAAAAACACACAGGAUGAUACUUGUAAAUGGAUAGUUAGCUAUGCAAUGUAAAUAAUCUUUAUUUGGCGUCUUUAUGACAUGGCGUUAAUUGCCCAGCACUCUCACACAACCAUGUGAUGUAUACCAGAAGCAGGUGUAUCAGAUUCCGUUAUUCUGAAAAAAAAAGCUUCUGUGCUGAGAAUCAAAUAUAAGUACCAAGCCGUGUAUAGAAACGUUCUGUGCCUAACAUAAUGUGUAAUCGUGUAUUAGCUUUGUACAUCAAAUUUGAUUUGUAUGCAUGUUUUGGCAAUGAAAAUAUCAUGUCAAUGUUGUCAUAAAUUAAAAUGUUUCUCCUAGGGGUUAGAUAGCCUUGCAGGGUUAUUGACCCCGUAUCGGUGCAUAACAAGGACGUGCUUCUUGUGAUUAAUUGACAGUUUAAGAAUUGCAGGUUGUAUUACAUUUUAUUUUAUUUUUAUGGUGCUUUAUCAUCAAUGAUUUUAAAUAUUCCCGACUUUUAAUAUUUAGAUUUGGUCAUAGACACAUAACUACUCAAUUUCGUCCCAUUUGUUCAUUGUUUUAAGUUUUUGGACAUAUAACAAGAAAUGAUAUUACUUAUUAACUCCAAUGUUAUUAACAAAAUCAACAAAUAAAAAUAGUAGAAAGCAACUCUGUUCCAUAUAUAAGCAUUCAACAUCGCGCAAGGAGCUGCGAUGAAACAAACAAAUUGUCUAUGCCAUAUUGUGUUAUUGUAGUUUAGGUAUACUUUGUAAUUAAAUCAGGUGUUUAUCUUGUGUGAUAAGUGUGCAGGGUAACUAAGUCUAAGUGUGUGCAUACCAAGGUAACAGAACCAACGCUAAACAAUUUACUAAAUGUCAUAUCCUUUCACAGCAGAUGGUGUUUGAUACGAAGGGAUUUGUGAAAUCCAUAUUUCAUUUUAGUUUUGGCAUAUGCUGUAUGUUAUGAAAUCGUUACAAUAUGCCAGAGCAAGAACCAGAAUGUUAUCAUUUUUUUAUGUCUUGGUUACAACAGUUUGUGUAUACUUUACAAUCAGCAAUAAAUAAUUGAAAGCUUGAAUACAUUUCCUCCUGUGCUUCGAAUUCAUCUACAUCUACUCUUGUCAGGGGGGUACUCAAAGU